rnacentral:rRNA from 1 species
UACGUAGGGAGCAAGCGUUGUCCGGAUUCAUUGGGCGUAAAGAGCUCGUAGGCGGCUUGAUAAGUCGGAUGUGAAACCUCCAGGCUCAACCUGGAGUCGCCAUCCGAUACUGUCAUGGCUAGAGUCCGGUAGGGGCCCACGGAACUCCUGGUGUAGCGGUAAAAUGCACAGAUAUAUGGAAGAACACCAAUAAAGGCGAAGGCAAUUAACUAUUCUGUUACUGACAUUGAGGCACGAAAGCGUGGGGAGCAAAACGG